GCAAGACCGGUGCCAGCCGCCGCGGUAACACCGGCGGCUCGAGUGGUAACCGUUAUUAUUGGGUCUAAAGGGUCUGUAGCCGGCCGGAUAAGUCUCUUGAGAAAUCUGGCAGCUUAACUGUCAGGCUUUCAGGAGAUACUGUCUGGCUCGAGGCCGGGAGAGGUGAGAGGUACUUCAGGGGUAGGGGUGAAAUCUUGUAAUCCUUGAAGGACCACCAGUGGCGAAGGCGUCUCACCAGAACGGACCUGACGGCAAGGGACGAAAGCUAGGGGCACGAACCGGAUUAGAUACCCGGGUAGUCCUAGCCGUAAACGAUACUCGCUAGGUGUCGGCCACGGUGCGACCGUUGUCGGUGCCGUAGGGAAGCCGUGAAGCGA
rnacentral:rRNA from 1 species